ACUCCUACGGGAGGCAGCAGUAGGGAAUCUUGCGCAAUGGGCGAAAGCCUGACGCAGCGACGCCGCGUGCGGGACGAAGGCCCUCGGGUUGUAAACCGCUUUCAGCAGGGACGAAGCGAAAGUGACGGUACCUGCAGAAGAAGGUCCGGCCAACUACGUGCCAGCAGCCGCGGUAAUACGUAGGGACCGAGCGUUGUCCGGAUUCAUUGGGCGUAAAGAGCUCGUAGGCGGCCACUCAAGUCGAAUGUGAAAUCUCGAGGCUCAACCUCGAGCCUGCAUUCGAUACUGGGCGGCUAGAGUCUGGUAGGGGGAUCUGGAAUUCCUGGUGUAGCGGUGGAAUGCGCAGAUAUCAGGAGGAACACCGGUGGCGAAGGCGGGAUCCUGGGCCAGUACUGACGCUGAGGAGCGAAAGCGUGGGGAGCAAACAGGAUUAGAUACCCUGGUAG
rnacentral:rRNA from 1 species